CACGACCGGGAAACCUGUGACAGUGUCUGACCGUGUCCUCUGUGCGCCGUCCUCCCCUCUCCGCGCUCUCCAUUCCCGCCCCCAUUCCCCCCGUAGUUAGAGGGAAGAGGCGGACAUGGUUGAAAACUCUCCAGCCCCACUGCCGGAAAGGGCAAUAUAUGGAUUUGCUCUUUUUUUAGGAUCGUGGUUUGGCUUCAUGUUGUACCUCAUCUGGGCUUAUGUUCCCGAGACUUGGCUGUUCUCACUGGGACUAACAUACUGGCCUCAAAAAUACUGGGCAGUUGCUUUGCCGGUGUAUCUACUGGUUGCUGUAGGAAUUGGUUAUAUAUUACUUUUUGGUAUUAACAUGAUGAGUACAGCUCCACUUAACUCCACACAUACUAUUACAGAUAACUAUGCAAAAAAGCAGCAGCAGAAGAAAUUCCAAGAAGAAGCAAUUCCAGCACUGAGGGAUAUUCCCAUCAGUGAAUAGUUUGCUAUUUUUUUCCACCUGUGUUUGAAGAAAAAACCCAAACCUGCUAGGUGUUACGGAUUGGAUGGCUGGAAGAAGAAAAGGAAAGAAAAAGCAACACAGCAUCUCAAAUGUUAUUUCAGUUUCUAGACAUAAAAGUGAUGCCCUUGCAGGAAGAGAAAGAACUUGUUUCAGCAGUAGUGAAAUGGAGUUGUCUUUCUCCUUGAGAUACGCAGGUACACUUUUGCUGUUACCUAAUGCAUUCUGAAGUGUACAGGCUGUCUUAAAAAUAUUUUAGCUUACUAUGAAAUGCUGUCAUCUUGAUUUGAUGAUCUUUAAAAUAAUCAUUGUUUGUGAUUGGGGAUAUAAGCAAAAACGUAAGUAACAAAUUACUCUAGAUAUUUUAUGGCAAAGUUCAUAUACCAGUAAGUGCCAUCAAAGACCGUCUCAUAUGAAUCAGAAAGCUGUAAUAUUAGAUGGUUAUAUUGUUGCUGCAAGCAGCAUUUCUGUAAAGUUAAAAAUUGUCCUGGGUCGGGCGGGCUUAUACUGCCUAUGAAGCAGGUAGUGUGCCUGGAGCUUUUCUAAGAGCAGGAGUGUGGAAAAUGUAUGUUUUAGUUCCACAGUGCAGUCUCUGGUACUCUGGUGGUUCAUUGGUACACCUCCAUGCAAGGUGGUCUAUAAACAUUAAAAAUGCAACUCUACCUCCAACAGCAAGUAAAGUGUAUACAAGAAAUGAUGGUAAAGUAAUAGUAACAGGUUUUUACAUUCUUUUUAGUGGAACUUGAGAUGCUGUGAGUUAAAUCAGGAAAAGUUAGGCUAAAAAUAUACCUUAAGGAGGAGAAGUGAUAACUUUAGAAGCAGUGAACUUCCCAACUCUCGUUCAAUAUGAGAAUGGAGGUAAUGUGAGGUAGGCUAAAUAGUGUUUGACUCUUCUUCCUCUUCUCCCCUGCGCCAGCAUUCUGUGCCAUGAGAGUGUAACAUUGAUAUCUUAGCUGAAUCUCUAGCAAUUCAGUUUGAUAACUUUGAUUAGAGUAAUAAGAAGUUACGAGUUCUUUGCCUUAAUACAGUGUUUCUCUAAUACCUAAUUCACAUUCAUGCCGAAGCUCCCACCAACGGAAACUUACCACUAAAGCUCUUUUGAAAAAACAGCUUUUUGAGUACUUGCUUUCUUUACCAGGCAGUUUCAUUUUGGGGUGUAAAUGAUAAAGCAUUUCUGACUUACAAACAGAACAGUUAAUAAAUGAUUUUGUGUAAAUAAAUUUUGUUCCAUAAUGCAUCUUUUCCAUCGGCACUUGAGUCUGAGUGGCUAAAAUGUUUUAACUCAAAGUCCUGCUUGCUGCUGUACUAUUAGAUCUCCAGUCAGCUCUAAAACAACUGAGAUGAAUGGGUUUUUUUAUAUGCCUCCCUCUAUUCAUGAAUGGAACUGUAUUCUGAGGAGAAAGUUUUGGAAGCAUUUAGUCUUGUUCUGCCAGUUCCCUUACAGAGAAAUUGCCAAAGUAAAUUUUGUUGGCAUGCUGUGCAGUUUCUGUAUCAACUUAAAUCUCAACCUUUUGCUUAAAUCAGCUGAUAGUUUAAACCAGUCUGAAAAUCACGAUUAUAUUGAAUGUAAUUUUAAGUAGUAUAUGUUUCAGAGAAGGGGGUGAAUUUUGCUUCCUGAGCUUAUAAAGCUGCUAUUUGGAAAAUUGCUUUUUCUCAGUUGUGGCAACUCAGUCCUACUGCUGUUGUCAUUCUCUCAGUAUAAAUGUAGCUUAGGAAAAAAAUGUGAUUGUGAUAGUUGGUUUUUUCCUUAAUGCAAAUUAUUACUGCAUUACUAGUAAUAAUUUGGCAUUAUUUUAUAAAGAACACUCAAAGAACUUUAAUGUCAUGCAAGGAUGUUAUUCCCUUGGAUCUAUGUAUCCUCCAAGAUCUUGUCUUGGAAGAUCUUAGAAGUAGAAUUCAAGACUGUUUUAUGAGCAUACUUUAAUUUUGAUUUUUCACAUGAAUACAUGCAAUAGAAAUAUAAAAGUGUAGGCAUUGUCUGAAUAACUCCCCAGCAUUCAUGUACAAGUGGAACAUGAACUUGUCUUUUGCUCUUGUAAUUUUAGACAAAGAUAAUCAAAAGGUAGCAUUUGCUGGAAGUGUUGAACUACUAAGGGAAGUUAUGUGGAACAGAGAUCUUGAGCCAACAAAUCAAUUUGUAAAAUGCUGUGUUUCUAGUCUUGUCUUUGAAGUAUUAAGCUCAUGAUGGACUCACUAUAUGGGGAUGCUUUGUUAUCUUUUUCCUGUAAAUGAUGGAUCAUUUUGAGGUUACUGAAAUCCUAGCAAGGUCAAACUGUAGGUGAAGAAACAAACCAGAGCUGACAGCUGAAAGUUAACUCCAGCCAAACAAUAGAGAUGCUAUAUUUCUAUUAGUUCACUUUUAGUCUUCUCUUAAUUAUUAACAACCUGUAAGGGAUCACAAUGCAUAUCUUAUUUAGUGUGCAAAUAAGGGUACUUUAAUGUUGUAACAUGAAAAGACAGUUAUUU